UGGGGAAUAUUGGACAAGGGGCGCAAGCCUGAUCCAGCCAUACCGCGUGGGUGAAGAAGGCCUUCGGGUUGUAAAGCCCUUUUGUUGGGAAAGAAAAGCAGCUGGUUAAUACCCGGUUGUUCUGACGGUACCCAAAGAAUAAGCACCGGCUAACUUCGUGCCAGCAGCCGCGGUAAUACGAAGGGUGCAAGCGUUACUCGGAAUUACUGGGCGUAAAGCGUGCGUAGGUGGUUGUUUAAGUCUGUCGUGAAAGCCCUGGGCUCAACCUGGGAAUUGCGAUGGAAACUGGGCGACUAGAGUGUGGCAGAGGAUAGUGGAAUUCCGUGUGUAGCAGUGAAAUGCGUAGAGAUCAGGGGGAACAUCCGUGGCGAAGGCGACUGUCUGGGCCAACACUGACACUGAGGCACGAAAGCGUGGGGAGCAAACAGG
rnacentral:rRNA from 1 species